rnacentral:rRNA from 1 species
CCUACGGGAGGCAGCAGUGGGGAAUAUUGGACAAUGGGGGGAACCCUGAUCCAGCGACGCCGCGUGAGUGAAGAAGUAUUUCGGUAUGUAAAGCUCUAUCAGCAGGGAAGAAAGAAAUGACGGUACCUGACUACGAAGCCCCGGCUAACUACGUGCCAGCAGCCGCGGUAAUACGUAGGGGGCAAGCGUUAUCCGGAUUUACUGGGUGUAAAGGGAGCGUAGACGGCGAUGCAAGUCUGAAGUGAAAAGCGGGGGCCCAACCCCUGGACUGCUUUGGAAACUGUAAGGCUGGAGUGCAGGAGAGGUAAGUGGAAUUCCUAGUGUAGCGGUGAAAUGCGUAGAUAUUAGGAGGAACACCAGUGGCGAAGGCGGCUUACUGGACUGUAACUGACGUUGAGGCUCGAAAGCGUGGGGAGCAAACAGGAUUAGAUACCCUUGUAGUC